UUAUUAAUGGAAAUGUUCCUAUAAAAAGGCUAACUUCCACUCUGGUUUCAGAGCUUCUCCUGUGUUGGUGGUUUCUUAAAAAUCACCGGCUCAAAAUUAUCCUUAUGCCCAAAGUUAUCAUUUGGAGUGGAAAACUCUGCUACCCUUCAUGACUAUCCGAUAAUAAGGUGGCCCUGUGAACAACUCAACCAAGCUGGCUUAGGUGCACUGAUAGGAAACACAUUCAGGGACCCCAGUUUAUCCACAAAUUGCACCUUUGACUACAUACUCUCCCCCCUUAAUGGAGAUUCCACAGUCCACAAAACCAGAGGAGUUUUAUUGUUUUUGUUGUUUGCGGUUUCUUUGUUUGUUUUCCAUUGAAGUUCUCAUUGAACAUAGCCUAGUCAUCUGUGGGAUUUUCCCCAGAAGAUUUUAGGGAAGUGACUUUAGGAGCUAGAUCUCUGAUUGUUUCCUGAUAAGUUCAGAUUACCCGUCUCCAGUUUACCCCUCCCCAGAGCCUUGUCAUUCCUCUGUACCCAGAAGAGAGGCUUUGAUAUUAGACACCUUUGCUCCAGGCUAUUCUCAGAGAGAACUUAAGUGUUCUAGAUGAGAAGACACAGAACAGGUUCACCUAGGAAGGCUGUCGCCCACCCAUGACAGGCUACUAAUCAGUUGGAGUGCUGCACCUCUCACUACUAUUCCUUUCUUCACAACUGCAGACUUCCUGGCUCUCUGCUCUUCAGAACCACAUAUUGAUUUCCUCACCACUGACACCUGAGUGUUGGAUCUGAACAGGACCCACAGGUGGCUCUGGUGACUGAGAUGGCAUCCUUUCUAAAGGCCCUAGGCCCUCUCUUGGCCCUGCUAUUUCCCCUAGGUGGUCUGCUUGUACACAGCCAGAACCUUUCCUGGAAGGAAUUCAUGAAACAGCACUACCUGAGCACAAGCUGGAAAUUCAGCGACUACAAAUGCAAUGAUCUCAUGAGGGAAAGAGAAGCUCCACAAGACAGGAACUAUCACAUCUUCAUCUAUACCUUUUGGCACAAAAUUGAGCAUAUUUGCUUCAGGAAGUGGAGAGACCGUUACAGAAAUGUAUACAUAUGGGCCCAGCAUCCCUUCAAAAUACUCCAGUGCUACCAGGAGGGCAACCAAAAGAGCUAUAGAGAGCAUGGUGGCUACAGCUACAUUGAAUUCCACUGUGGUAUGAACGGGGCUCAGAACCUUUCCACGCUGGCAGAGGAACAGCAGACAAAAGCUUCUGAGCCUGGGACUAACCACUGUCUCUAUCCUCAGCAGGAGCCCCAGUAAGGAGACCUGUAAUCCAUACACCCAAGUGGGCCCAAAAUGACAACCUAAGAUCAAGAGUCACAUGCUCCUCUGACUGAGACAGCCAGUGACUCUUUAGGAAGCAGUGAGUGCCCAGAGCAGACGAGCACACGACUGAGGCCUUAUCUCAACUGUGCACCCACAGACUGACUUCGAGUUUGGAAGGGACACCUCUUUCCAGGAACAACCAGAACUCUUCACCAAAGAGAUACAUAAGAUUGAAGCAGACCUGUGAGAAUUCACUCUGAGGGAAGGGCAAAUCCAUACUCAAAACCUAGGGAAAUGGGGCCCAUCCUGCUCUAAAGGUCUAUCAAAUUCCUGGUUUAUGGACAUAUCAGCCUCCACAGUCUCUGGAGAAACAGAACGGACAGCUGCAGCACUGAGACCUCAGGACGAGCUGCUUCUCAGAGAAGAAGGGCUCAGAACCCUUCCCUGCUGCAAGCAGGUCAUGCUGGCAUAUCUGGCAGAGGAACAGCAGACAAAAGCAUCUAAGCCUGGGACUAACCACAGCCUCUGUCCUGAGCAGGACCCCCAGCAAGGAGACCUGAAGAAAUGAUGCUGGAUCUUCUGGGACCCUUUCCUCUCCUGUUGCUGCUGGGAUCAUGGGGGCCAGUGCUUCCCCCUGGUGCUAUGGCUCAACUCACUAGGUUUCGAAAGUUUGAAAUUCAGCAUAUAAGUGCAGGUCCCGUAUAAUGCAACAAUGCAAUGUGUGCUGUCAAUAGUCUUACUCAGCACUGUAAACCUCAAAACACCUUUCUGCAUAACUCCUCCCAGAAGUGGCUGCUACCUGUCUUUUGCCCAAGAGGACCUGCAGGAAUGGGCAGUAUAACUGCCACCAGAGUGCAAAUUGUAUUGGCAUUACUUACUGCAGUCACACUGGAGGGACAUAGCCCAACUGCAGCUACAGUAAGUACUACUCCCCAGAAUCAGUUCUACACUGUUGCCUGUAACUCCCAUCACCUGGGUGACCCUCACUAUCGUCUAGUUCCUGUCAUUUAGAUUAAAACUAAGGUUUCUCUCAUUUGGUGCAGUUUCUCUCAUGAUCUCUUCUGUCUUGUCUUUUGCUUUGCUGAUUUCCAUGGAUCCCACAGAAGAAAGAAGUCAGGGAGUGGGAAAAUUAGAGGCCCAAGAUGCCAGCCCAGAGUUGUGGACAAAUGUGUUCAAAUACUUUUCUGCUUUGAAGCUCCGUGUGUUUUGAAAGAAUACAACAGGGAAGAGAGCAAAGACAGACCCAGGCACCUAGUUUCACUCUUGAAACUUCUGUCAAGCUUUGUGCAUUGUGUUCACAGCAAUAAAAUCACUUUCUGUUGCA